CCACCCAAAACAAAAAUCCUUCCUUCAAACCAACGUUCCCACAUGAUUUCAUUCUCAUGGAUAGCUGCUGAAGAGAUAAAUGAAGCUGACAUUGACUCACGA